rnacentral:rRNA from 1 species
GGGGUGCUAUACAUGCAAGUCGAACGAACUUCCGUUAAUUGAUUAUGACGUACUUGUACUGAUUGAGAUUUUAACACGAAGUGAGUGGCGAACGGGUGAGUAACACGUGGGUAACCUGCCCAGAAGUAGGGGAUAACACCUGGAAACAGAUGCUAAUACCGUAUAACAGAGAAAACCGCAUGGUUUUCUUUUAAAAGAUGGCUCUGCUAUCACUUCUGGAUGGACCCGCGGCGUAUUAGCUAGUUGGUGAGGUAAAGGCUCACCAAGGCAGUGAUACGUAGCCGACCUGAGAGGGUAAUCGGCCACAUUGGGACUGAGACACGGCCCAGACUCCUACGGGAGGCAGCAGUAGGGAAUCUUCCACAAUGGACGCAAGUCUGAUGGAGCAACGCCGCGUGAGUGAAGAAGGGUUUCGGCUCGUAAAGCUCUGUUGUUAAAGAAGAACGUGGGUAAGAGUAACUGUUUACCCAGUGACGGUAUUUAACCAGAAAGCCACGGCUAACUACGUGCCAGCAGCCGCGGUAAUACGUAGGUGGCAAGCGUUAUCCGGAUUUAUUGGGCGUAAAGCGAGCGCAGGCGGUCUUUUAAGUCUAAUGUGAAAGCCUUCGGCUCAACCGAAGAAGUGCAUUGGAAACUGGGAGACUUGAGUGCAGAAGAGGACAGUGGAACUCCAUGUGUAGCGGUGAAAUGCGUAGAUAUAUGGAAGAACACCAGUGGCGAAGGCGGCUGUCUGGUCUGCAACUGACGCUGAGGCUCGAAAGCAUGGGUAGCGAACAGGAUUAGAUACCCUGGUAGUCCAUGCCGUAAACGAUGAUUACUAAGUGUUGGAGGGUUUCCGCCCUUCAGUGCUGCAGCUAACGCAUUAAGUAAUCCGCCUGGGGAGUACGACCGCAAGGUUGAAACUCAAAAGAAUUGACGGGGGCCCGCACAAGCGGUGGAGCAUGUGGUUUAAUUCGAAGCUACGCGAAGAACCUUACCAGGUCUUGACAUCUUCUGACAGUCUAAGAGAUUAGAGGUUCCCUUCGGGGACAGAAUGACAGGUGGUGCAUGGUUGUCGUCAGCUCGUGUCGUGAGAUGUUGGGUUAAGUCCCGCAACGAGCGCAACCCUUAUUACUAGUUGCCAGCAUUAAGUUGGGCACUCUAGUGAGACUGCCGGUGACAAACCGGAGGAAGGUGGGGACGACGUCAAAUCAUCAUGCCCCUUAUGACCUGGGCUACACACGUGCUACAAUGGAUGGUACAACGAGUCGCGAGACCGCGAGGUUAAGCUAAUCUCUUAAAACCAUUCUCAGUUCGGACUGUAGGCUGCAACUCGCCUACACGAAGUCGGAAUCGCUAGUAAUCGCUGGAUUCAGCA